CAAUAAGAUUGGACAGGGCGUCUGAACCGGUAACGGCUCAGAGGACCACUGGGUGAAUUGCUGGAAGUUCCUGAAGCUCUUUUCUCCACAACGUAACCGGAAACGGUAAGCGUGACGGGCGAAAAAGAAAAGAGAUUGGAUGAUCAGCAGCCAAGCUCCUGUUCCGAAAGGAUGGAGAAGGUUCAACGACUAGGAUAGACCACCGCGUGAGGUGAUGAAAUCCGUAGGGCGGUAACAACCGUUCGAAGUGCCCAGCCCCUCAAAAUGCGAGGGUGAAGAUAUAGUCUAUUCUAUGCUCGAAAGACAUAG
rnacentral:ncRNA from 1 species